UCUCGGUUUCGUCACAAAUAGUGUUGAUUUUAUUUGUGGACGUCUAAAUAGCUUUAUGGACAGUAUAGUGUAAAGUGUUAAGGGAUAGUACUGAUGAUGCCAAUACAUAGUUUAAAAAUUAUGAAAACCAACAUUUUCGUCUUUGAAUUUUGAGGAAGAAAUACGAACCUCUAAAUAUGGAAGACCUACGCGAAAAUAAAUUAUACAACCUUAAAACUACUAUGGAGAAAUCGGGAUUUAUCCGAACAUUUAAUCCUGAGAAUUAUGGUAAAUUACCCUGGAUGUGCGGAAGUUAUUCUGUUGGUUUAGAAUUCGGUCAUAAAUGGAUAUUCAGAUUCGAAUCAUUUGCAUACCGCAGUACAACGUCAUCCAAGUUCUGAAUCGCAUUUACUGGCAUGGUUAAAAUUAAAGUCAUUUGGCUCAACCCGCAUAGAUUUCAAAUUUUAAAACACAACGAGAAGUUGCUCAUGCAACCGGGGCAAUUAAAUGCUAUGAACCCAUACGAUAUGCAUCACUGGCACGAUCUAUGACAGCCAGAUAUAGAAAGCGUAUUCACUCAACCAUCGACUAAUGCUAAUGACCCAUUCCUUUGUCGUUUUGUGUAAAGAGUGAAUGUAUAAGACAUUGUUCAUAAUUAUAAAUAUAAAAGUUAAUUUCAAUAGUGCCACCAUAUUUAUUAUUCGACUGCCCGGACAAUCCAACUACAUCAGAAGUGGUAAACAGUGUCUAGAAGUCGUAUUUGUGUAGAAUGCCGGAAUAUCUAAAAAAUUCGAAGAGACAUAACUCAAUAUCCAGUAGCGAUAGCUCAGUUCCCCUGAUGCUGAAAAACAAUCAUGGAAAUCAUAAAAAUCUAAUCCAAGAGAUCACAUAGGAAAUCUGAUUACAGACAAAUACAGGGUUUGGCAAUGAUACGGGAAGAUUUGUGGUGGGGCUUGCAGCGCGCGGUGAAGUGGUAGGGAAGACAGUCACAGGCCUGUCGGGACCCGAGUGGCUUGCCAUUUCUAACAUUGUAUAUCAAAUGGCUACUCUUUUAUUUCCCAUUAAUGUAUCAAAUUACAAAAAAAAAUAUUUUUUCAACAAUAAAAUUAUUUACGAAAUCAGCGACUUUCCAUUUUUUAUAGAAUCCAGUUCAGUUUUGUUCAGUCAGAGCCGCCACCGACUAAUGAUCAUGAUUAUCCUUGGUCCGAAAUUCCUUAUAUACCUCACAGCUUUGAAACCUUCAUCUUUUCAGGAACAUAAGUUCCAAAAAGGCAUAUAGACCAGUCGCCAAUAAAUAUUUUUUCAAAUGUCCUUGGUGAUGAUUUUUUAGAAUUAAUAGUGAAAUAUCGCUAUGCACAACAGAAAAAAAGGGCACUUGAUUUCACUUUGGCAGAGUUGAAAGCAUUAAUUGGAGACAAUUAUUAAGGGGUUGAAUCCACUGCUAUGUCUUCGAAUUUAUUGGUCAACAGACCUGAAUAUUGCAAAUCACAGAAUAUCAAGUUUAAAGACACUAAAAAGGUUCCUAAAAAUUCUUUGUCUCCUUUAUCUCAAUGACAAUGAUUCUAUGCUGUAAAAAGGUGAUGAAAAGUUCGAUAGAUUAUAUAAAAUUAGGCCCAUAAUCACCCAAUUGCAAAAAAGCUUAUGACGGUGGAUAAGAGUAUGGUUGCCUUCGAGGGCAGAGCACAUUUGAAACAGUAGAUGCCUCAAAAGCUAAUAAUAAGAGGCCUUUAAAAUAUUGGCAUUAUAGUGCUCUGUUACUAGAUAUCUUCUCAAUUUUUCAGUCCAUUAAGGAAAAAGGGAGAGCACUGAAGAAGGAUCGGUUCGGUACUAUAUUUGACAAAGAAAAAUCGGUGUUUUUGAUUGUAGCUGGAGCUUGCAAAAACAAUUUUAACACCUAGGGAAAUGGUUAUGUAUCAAGUUCAUUGGAACAGAAAAGCCAAAAUAUCAAAAUUGUAAAACAGUCUAAGGAAUAACAAAGAAUAGUGAUAGACAUUGGAGAAGAUGUGUGCUGGUACAGAACCUUUGGAAGAACCAUGUGCAUAAAGUGUGAUGUUGGGUUAUGUGUUCCUUGUUUUCCUCAGAAUCACUCAAAUUAGUGAACAUUUACACGUCCAUAUGUAUCUAUGUAGCUUUGUAUUUACAUUUGUUCUAAUUAUAUUACAUAAUAUAAGAUUUAAUUUACAGAAGCAUAAAGAUGUGCUUUUGUGUUAAUUGCUUGUACCUUAACCGCCCCAGUGAUACCAUAUGGUAACAGCUAUUAUUGUUUUCGAUUAAAUUUAUUUUGUUAAUAAUUUUUAUAAUUAAUACUCUAAUCUCAACCAAUAUAGAGCAAUAAAUAUGAAAAUAAAAAUAAUUCCGGGCGCUAAUGGGUUCAAAUGAGUUUUGCAUAAUAAACAAUAUGCAGACGCUUAAAAAUUGAAUUAUUUGAUAAAAUAAUGUUAUUGCCAGUAAGCUUUCCAAAUGCAUUCAUCGUUGCCAGUUCAUCAAUUAAAAUCAAUAACAUAACUCAUUUAUCAAUUCUACUAUCUGAUCAUUUCCAAAUAUUUCUGCUUGUGUUUGGCCAACAUAUCUGUCACAGUCACCAAAGUUUUAAUGUUGGAAUUCAAUUUACCAACAGCUUGUAAUUCAGUUAUGUGUGCCACACAUAUGUGAUGUAAAGUUGCUAGUUCUUUGGCAGUAUCUGGGACUGUAGUGAUGCGCGGUUCUCCUGGAUCUCCUACCAUGGAAAGCUGAUCAAGGAAGACAACCAUACGUUCUUUAUUUUUGAGUAUAAACGGAUUUACCACUUCCAUAUAAGGUUCCUAAAAGGGAAAACUUGUUAUAAACAGUGCAUUUUAGACAUUUGAUAAAUUUAAUAGUACACACACACAUCACAAAUUGGAAUUAAAAUAACACAUUUAUGUACUGAAAUCCAGAUGUUUAAUGUUUCAAAAUGCAAACCCUAGCCAAUAACCAAUAAAUUCAAACUUUUUCUGC